GGGAAGGCCUUGCCUGGGAGGGAAACGGCUACAGGGGAGGAAACCAAGAAAUGCUCCAACCGGAUGGUGCUGCGCGAGUCAAAAGAGGGGCAAGACCGCGGGCAAAUACAGUCAGGAAAUGAGCUUUUAUUCAAUCUCUGCAGGAGCCCUUCGCAGCCACGGGCCGGAGGGAGCGCGGCCGGCUGGGCUGUGCCCGGCUGGGGACGGGCACCAAUUCAUCACUGCCCUGCUCAGGGAGGUUUUCCGGCCCCGUCCGGGCUUCACCCGACGGCUGCAAAGGUGCUCGUGCGGCAUCCGAGCUCAUUUCCAGGGAUAAAGGAGCCAAACGAGUCCGGAGGGAUCCCUCGCUCCGAGGCAAAGGCGUUUGGUCGAGUGUCGCCGCCUGGUCCCGCCUGCGGGGGAGCGUCUCCUCCAGGUGAAUUGUGCACAAGCCAGUCCCCCAUUCCCUAUCCAGGCUGGGAGUGCUCUUGCCCUUGGUACAGUUGGCUCUGGCUGGGCAGGAACUGAGAGCAGGACACGGGGCAGAGUGGAUCAGCUGCCCAGGGAACCUCUAGGAGAUGAAGCUACGGGAUCCUCAUUCCAAUCAAGGGAACACAUUCUGUCUCUGGCAGAAGCCGGGAGCCAAAGCAGAUCCCGCCUGGCCAGGCUGGGGGGCAGCAGUUGGAUCCACUCUGGGGGAAACCCCCUGUGCCUGCCAGGAGCUCUGACUCUGUUUGUCCUGCCAGCUCCUGACCAGUGUCAGGGCCCCUGGGAGGGAUUCAGAAUCCAAAGAAACCCCAAAUCCUACCGCAGGAUUCAAUCAAAGGAAGAAAGCCAUUAUUGUCAUAAAAAGCUUAAAAAGCUGUUAAAAAUUCUAGGACAGCAAUACUGGGAUUCCCAGGAAACUUA